rnacentral:other from 1 species
GCGCGGCUGCGCGACUCGUCAGGAAACACUAUCCCCGGGGCCUUACGCAUUCCCUAGGGAGCUGUCCCUGUUCCGGCCCCUGGGCUGGAGCACACGGCGCCCACCUACACUGUAGGUUUCCCGGGAUUGCACCUUCCAACGGUCUGUGUGGCUGCGUC